AGCAGCCGCGGUAAUUCCAGCUCCAAUAGCGUAUAUUAAAGUUGUUGCAGUUAAAAAGCUUGUAGUUGAAUUUCGGGGUCAGUAGGUUGGUCGUGCCACUGGUAUGUACUGGCCUUACUGAUUCCUCCUUCUUGAAGAACUGUAAUGUCAUUCACCUGGUGUUGCAGGGAAACAGGACUGUUACUUUGAAAAAAUUAGAGUGUUUAAAGCAGGCUAACGCUUGAAUACAUUAGCAUGGAAUAAUGAAAUAGGACGUUUAAUCCUAUUUUGUUGGUUUCUAGGAUUGACGUAAUGAUUAAUAGGGAUAGUUGGGGGCAUUAGUAUUUAAUUGUCAGAGGUGAAAUUCUUGGAUUUAUUGAAGACUAACUACUGCGAAAGCAUUUGCCAAGGAUGUUUUCAUUAAUCAAGAACGAAAUUAGGGGAAUCGAAGACGAUCAGAUACCGUCGUAGUCUUAACCAUAAACUAUGCCGACUAGGGAUCGGAUGGUGUUAAUUUUUAAUGACUCAUUCGGCGCCUUAC
rnacentral:rRNA from 1 species